rnacentral:other from 1 species
CGAGCCCUACUGUGUGCGUGUUAGCCGGUAUGUUUUGAGCCAACACACGUUUCUAGGGAGUCUGGUCUCCGUCUAUGGCACGCAAGCCUCCUGGAGGGGACGCGUUAAGUAGGCGGGAGGACACCCACCUGCGAGAGCAGGUUCAAAACUAAGGCACGCACGGCAUGGUAGGGUCUUU